CCUACGGGAGACAGCAGUGAGGGAUAUUGGUCAAUGGACGGAAGUCUGAACCAGCCAUGCCGCGUGAGUGAAGACGGCUCUAUGGGUUGUAAGCUGCUUUUGUACGGGAGUAAGCCUUAAUACGUGUUUUCCUCUACACGUACUCUACGUAUAAGCAUCGGCUAACUCCGUGCCAGCAGCCGCGGUAAUACGGAGGAUCCAAGCGUUAUCCGGAUUUAUUGGGUUUAAAGGGAGCGUAGGCGGAUUGGUAAGUCUGCUGUGAAAGGUCGGGGCUCAACCCCGGAACUGCAUUGGAAACUGUUGAUCUUGAGUGCAGAAGAGGUAGGCGGAAUGCAUGGUGUAGCGGUGAAAUGCUUAGAUAUCAGGAAGAACACCGAUGGCGAAGGCAGCUUACUGAACUGUAACUGACGUUGAGGCUCGAAAGCGUGGGGAGCAAACAGGAUUAGAUACCCUAGUAGUC
rnacentral:rRNA from 1 species